ACUCCUACGGGAGGCAGCAGUGGGGAAUAUUGCACAAUGGGCGCAAGCCUGAUGCAGCCAUGCCGCGUGUGUGAAGAAGGCCUUCGGGUUGUAAAGCACUUUCAGUCGUGAGGAAGGUAGUGUAGUUAAUAGCUGCAUUAUUUGACGUUAGCGACAGAAGAAGCACCGGCUAACUCCGUGCCAGCAGCCGCGGUAAUACGGAGGAUCCAAGCGUUAUCCGGAAUCAUUGGGUUUAAAGGGUCCGUAGGUGGAUGAUUAAGUCAGAGGUGAAAUCCUGCAGCUCAACUGUAGAAUUGCCUUUGAUACUGGUUGUCUUGAAUUAUUGUGAAGUAGUUAGAAUAUGUGGUGUAGCGGUGAAAUGCAUAGAUAUCACAUAGAAUACCGAUUGCGAAGGCAGAUUACUAACAAUACAUUGACACUGAUGGACGAAAGCGUGGGGAGCGAACAGGAUUAGAUACCCUGGUAGACUGUCAU
rnacentral:rRNA from 1 species